rnacentral:rRNA from 1 species
GACGAACCGUGCGAACGUUGUUCGGAAUCACUGGGCUUAAAGGGCGCGUAGGCGGGCUAACAAGUCUGGGGUGAAAUGCCGCGGCUCAACCGUGGAACUGCCUCAGAUACUGUCGGCCUCGAGGGAGAUAGGGGCAUGCGGAACUGUAGGUGGAGCGGUGAAAUGCGUUGAUAUCUACAGGAACUCCGGUGGCGAAAGCGGCGUGCUGGAUCUCUUCUGACGCUGAGGCUCGAAAGCUAGGGGAGCAAACGGG